UUUGGUAUAUAAUUACUUGUAAUUGCUUAGUUUUAAUCAAUAAAUAAAAACUAACUAAUUCAUAAAAUGAUAGACCCAAGCCAUAGACCCAAAUGGAGCUACCUAAACGCCUUCUUAACCCAAACCAUAGACCCAAACGGAGCUACCUAAACCCCCUUAAACCCAAAUUCUAAACCCUAAACCCAAACCGUAAACCCUUAAUCCAAACCCUAAACCCAAAUUGUAAAACCAAACCAUAGCCCAUAACGGAGCUACCUAAACCCUAACCUUGAAGGUCUAAACCCUAAACCCAAACCGUAGACCCUAAACUCAAACCCUAAACCCAAAACCCCCAUAAACCCAAACUCUAAACCCUAAACCCAAAUCGUAAACCCUUAACCCAAACCCUAAACCCAAAUUGUAAAACCAAACCAUCGCCCAUAACGGAGCUACCUAAACCCUAACCUUGAAGGUCUAAAAUAUACUAUAUUUCAUUUAGAAUAGUAUGGCAAUUGAUGAUAGUUACUAUAUUGAUGAAUGGGAAAAGGAGGAAAAUGGAGAGGUGAGGAGCAGGAGGGGAGGAGAAGGAAGGAGGAAAGAUAGAAGUAUGGAGGAAAGGAAGGAGGAAUGGAGAGAGAGACCGGGGAUGGGAGGGAAGGAGGAUGUAACUAAUAUUCAUAGUAAGAGAAGUAAUAUAUACUGUAUUUUGAAGGAUUGUGAACAUGACAACAAAUUCUUUUUGUUAUAAAACAUCUAAAACCUUUAUAAUUUGGAAGGAACAUGUAAAUUAGUAAGUUAGGUUGAUACAUUAAACUUUAUCCUCUUUAUAUAUGAAAGAUUGAUAUUUUAACUUUUUCACACAUAUUAAAAAGUUAAGUACACUAUUUUGUUUAUUACUUUUUAGUUUUAUCAAUAAAUUUUCAUCACUCAUAGUUUUAUAUUUUAAUUUUAAAAACUAAAAUAUCAAUCUAAAUUGAUUACUUUUAAUUUAUAUUUUAAUUUUAAUAAUAAAUGCAUUAAUUACUUUCUAAAACAUCUAUUUUUCAAAUACAAAAUAAAAUUUAAAACAUCAAUCAUGCAAAUAAGAAGGGAGUGUAUAAAAUAUAUUGAAAACGUUUAUGAGAAACCUACAUUCAGAUUCAGAUUUUCAGAGUAUUAUGUAUUGUUAGAAGUGAAAAAUAUAUGAGGUAACUUGCGUGAGGAAAAAUGUUCAACAUCGGAUCUGAUGUAAAGAAAAAAUAAGUUUCACAAUAUAUUUUAAAUGGAAAUUGCAUCUAGCAGCUGAGAAAAAAACCAAAAUUCACAAAAUGACUAAAAUCUCAUUAUUUCUCCCCUUCUUUCUUUAUAUCUCUUUCUACUCUCUCUCUUAAAAACUAAUUGGGACAAUUUGUUGAAUAUUCAUAAGGAACACUAAAAUGAAGAAUAUAGUCAUUCUACAGCAAAAACUCAUCGAUGUGACAAGUUCACCUAAAAUUGUCCGUAAUAGCCUCCGAAGCGCGUGUGCGUGCAAAUGACUCCAAUGCACUUGAUAUACUAUACUAUAUAAAAUGUAAUAUAGUCUCAAAAGACAACUAUACUUAUCUCUUCCCACAUUGCAAAUGUUUUAUCGCAAAAAACAUUACACGUGGAGUAUAACAGUUGUGAAGAUGUAUAGUACUCUAAAAGAAGAAGCUGAGAGAAGAAAAGAAUAAAGAUGAUGAUGAAGAAUAAAAAACAAAAAAGAAGAAGAAAUAUUGUAUUAUACUACACUUUUACAAUAAUCACACGAAUAAUUUCUUUCUUACUAUACUAUAUUUCAUUUAGAAGAGUAUGGCAAUUGAUGUUGGUUACCAACAUAAUGAAAUACAACCAAAUAAACCCUAAACCCGCUACCUAAACCCAAACUCUAAACACUAAACCCUAAACCCAAACUCUAAACUCUAAACCCAAACGGUAGACCCUUAAACCCUAAACCCAAAUCGUAUACCCUAAACCCAAACCGUAAACCAUAAUAGAGCUACCUAAACCCUAAACCAAAACUCUAAACCAUAAACCCAAACCCUAAACACAAAUUCUUAACCCAAACCAUAGACCUAAACGGAGCUACCUAAACCCUAAACCCCCCUAAACCCAAAUUUUAAAUCCUAAACCCAAACCAUAAACCCUUAACCCAAACCCUAAACUCAAAUUGUAAAACCAAACCAUCGCCCAUAACGGAGCUACCUAAACCCUAACCUUGAAGGUCUAAACCCUAAACCCAAACCGUAGACCCUAAACCCAAACCCUAAACCCAAAACCCCCCUAAACCCAAACUCUAAACCCUAAACCCAAACCCUAAACCCAAAACCCCUCUAAACCCAAACUCUAAACCCUAAACCCAAACCGUAAACCCUUAACCCAAACCCUAAACCUAAAUUGUAAAACCAAACCAUCGCCCAUAACGGAGC
rnacentral:lncRNA from 1 species